GACCAGACUCCUACGGGAGGCAGCAGUGGGGAAUAUUGCACAAUGGGGGGAACCCUGAUGCAGCAACGCCGCGUGGGUGAAGAAGUACUUCGGUAUGUAAAGCCCUGUCAGCAGGGAAGAAAAUGACGGUACCUGACCAAGAAGCCCCGGCUAACUACGUGCCAGCAGCCGCGGUAAUACGUAGGGGGCAAGCGUUAUCCGGACUUACUGGGUGUAAAGGGAGCGUAGACGGAAAGGCAAGUCAGAAGUGAAAGCCCAAGGCUCAACCAUGGGACUGCUUUUGAAACUGUCAAACUAGAGUACGGGAGAGGUAAGAGGAAUUCCUGGUGUAGCGGUGAAAUGCGUAGAUAUUAGGAGGAACACCAGUGGCGAAGGCGUCUUACUGGACCGAAACUGACGUUGAGGCUCGAAAGCGUGGGGAGCAAACAGGAUUAGAUACCCCUGUACUG
rnacentral:rRNA from 1 species